rnacentral:rRNA from 1 species
UGCGUAACAGCUCACUGGUCGAGUGGACAUGCGCCGACAAUACACGGGGCUAAGCAUGGCGCCGAAGCGGCGGACUAAUACAAAUUAGUGGUAGGGGAGCUUCCCCGGGGGGGUGAAGCCGGAGGGCGACCUCCGGUGGACCGCCGGGGAGUGAGAAUGCUGGCACGAGUAGCGAGAGCGGGGCGAGAAACCCCGCCGCCGCAAGCCCAAGGUUUCCUGGGCGAUGCUAAUCAUCCCAGGGUCAGCCGGGAGCUAAGGCGAGGCCGAGAGGCGCAGCCGAUGCGCAGCUGGCAGACAUUCCAGCGCCGCUCCCGCGCCGCUAUGACCGAAGGGGCGACGGAGAAGGGCAGCCGGGCGGGGUUCUGGACGUCCCCGUGAAAGCGCGUAGGGGGGUGCGCAUGGAAAUCAGCGCACCGCGGCCCCGAGACGCGAGACGAAGCCUUUACGGCGAAGCCGGUCAUCCCAUGCUCCCGAGAAAAACCCCUAGGCAGGCGCGGGCGCGCCCGUACCAAGACCGACACAGGUGGGCGGGUAGAACAUACCGAGGCGAUCGGGAGAACCAUGGUCAAGGAACUCGGCACACUGGCCCCGUAACUUAGGGAGAAGGGGCGCCCCCCGGCGUGAAGGAGCUAUGCCUCCGGAGCGCGGGGGGGCCGCAGCGAAACGGCCCAAGCGACUGUUUACCAAAAACACAGGACUCUGCCAAGCCGCGAGGCGAAGUAUAGGGUCUGACGCCUGCCCGGUGCCGGAAGGUCACGGGGAUCCGUUAGCCUUUGGCGAAGCGGUGAACCCAAGCCCCGGUAAACGGCGGCCGUAACUAUAACGGUCCUAAGGUAGCGAAAUUCCUUGUCGGGUAAGUUCCGACCUGCACGAACGGCGUAACGACUUGGGCGCUGUCUCGACCAUGGACCCGGUGAAAUUGCACUAUUCGUGAAGAUGCGAAUUACCUGCGGAAGGACGGAAAGACCCCGUGAACCUUCACUGCAGCUUGGCAUUGGCCGUUGGCUCGGCGCGUAGAGGAUAGGCAGGAGGCAUCGAAACCGGGGCGCCAGCCCCGGCGGAGCCGCCCUUGGAAUACUGCCCCCUCCGUUCCGGCGGCCUAACGCGGCGCCCUGACCGGGGCCGCGGACCGUGCCAGGCGGGUAGUUUGACUGGGGCGGUCGCCUCCUAAAAUGUAACGGAGGCGCGCAAAGGUUGGCUCAGGACGGUCGGCAACCGUCCCGAGAGCGCAAGAGUGCAAGCCAGCUUGACUGCGAGGCGGACGGGCCGAGCAGGUGCGAAAGCAGGCUCUAGUGAUCCGGCGGCACAGAGUGGAACGGCCGUCGCUCAACGGAUAAAAGGUACUCCGGGGAUAACAGGCUGAUCUUGCCCAAGAGUCCACAUCGACGGCAAGGUUUGGCACCUCGAUGUCGGCUCAUCGCAUCCUGGGGCUGUAGCAGGUCCCAAGGGUUGGGCUGUUCGCCCAUUAAAGCGGUACGCGAGCUGGGUUCAGAACGUCGUGAGACAGUUCGGUCCCUAUCCUCCGCAGGCGCAAGUGGAUUGAGGAGGUCUGCCCCUAGUACGAGAGGACCGGGGUGGACGGGCCUCUGGUGCAGCGGUUGUCGACCAACGGCACGGCCGCCUAGCUACGCCCGGCACGGAUAACCGCUGAAGGCAUCUAAGCGGGAAGCCGUCUCCGAGAUGAGUCCACUUUCCGGUAAGGGCCCGGGUAGAACACCCGGUCGACAGGGCGCAGGUGCAAGCGGGGCGACCCGCUCAGCCGAGCGCUGCUGAUAGCCCGAGCUCUUCGCAU